rnacentral:lncRNA from 1 species
CAUCAAAUUUUUUUUUGUUAAGAUUAGGGUUUUUUACCCAUCUGUUUUGAGAUUUGGUUUUUGGUUUUGGUUUUGGUUUUGGUUUUGGUUUUGGUUUUGGUUUUGGUUUUGGAAGUUGUUUAUAGGAAUAUGUGUAGCGAUUCAUCAUCUACUACAAUUCAAGAAGCUCGUGGCUUAAAUGACGAGAUUUAUGACUGCAAUCACCAUCUUGGCAAUCAGGAACGUCUUCAAAACAUUCAGAUUUACCAAAGGUCCGUUCUGAUUUAGGGUUCACCGAUACGAUUGUCACUGGUAAGGCUCUUUUAUUGUUGUGAUCAUUUAAACAUAUCAACAGGUGAGUAAUCUCUGAUUCUUUGUGCUCUUUUUUGCGGUUUUAACUAUUACAAUGGUUUAUGUGACAACUUUUCUGGACUCAUCAUCUAAAGUACAGGUCUACCUAUGAGUUUUUGAAUUCUUUUUUUAACCAGGGUUAUUCUUGUCCAUUUGAUAUAUAAAAAGAAUUAAAAAAUUCCAAGUGAGUUAAGGUUGAUUAGUCACCCUUAUAAAGGGUUUUAAUUGGUAAUCCGAUUGAACUGGUCUGAUGAUUAUGGCUUCUUAAUGCUUUCUUUGCAGUAAUUACCUUCUUCUAUUUGGGAUGUGAAGAAGUGCAUUUGUUGCCUAUGUUAUUAUUGUUUUCUGGGCUUUAUAGUUUGAAUUCAAAUUCAUAGUUGUAUUUAACAAUACAAGCUUUAGAGGGAAUGAUCACUACCAAGGAUUAUGAUUUAAGAUCAUGUUUCUCAGUGGUGGCUAUAACUUCAAAGAGGAGCGGUUGUUAAACAGAGCUUAUGAAAUUUGAUAUGGGAGGCUUAGUUGCGGAUUUAGGCGAUGCAAAAGCUAUUGGUCAAAUAAAACCGCUUGGUGUAGAGGUUGCUACUUUGGAUUGCUACGCAAUAGGCUUUAUAUGUGGCUAAAAGGAUUUAGGUGAAAUCUCGGGUGGUUGCAGCUAUAUAAAUGAGAUAAAUUGACUGAUGAUUUUUUUGUUUAAGUGUUUCUUUUACAUUUGUUUCCUAAUUUACACUUCAAUUUUAGAGCAGUUGCCUAUUACCUAGGCUGUACAUGAAAUAUUGGUUGCAAAUAAUUCGAAAUAUAUGCUUUGUAAAAGUCACUGAAAUAUUGGUUCUAAAUUAAAGAUUACAA